rnacentral:rRNA from 1 species
GAAGGUUUUCCUAGUGAAAACCUAGGGAGGACGAGCGGUUCUACCUUUAAAAGUAGCCGUUCCGCACUCCCGGGGCGUCUCGUUCUCAUCGCGAGAAGAGGCGCACCAAGAGCGUACACGCUGGGACCCGAAAGAUGGUGAACUAUGCCUGGUCAGGACGAAGUCAGGGGAAACCCUGAUGGAGGUCCGUAGCGAUUCUGACGUGCAAAUCGAUCGUCGGAACUGGGUAUAGGGGCGAAAGACUAAUCGAACCAUCUAGUAGCUGGUUCCCUCCGAAGUUUCCCUCAGGAUAGCUGGCGCUCGUUGCGAACGAGUCUCAUCCGGUAAAGCGAAUGAUUAGAGGCAUUGGGGUCGAAACGACCUCAACCUAUUCUCAAACUUUAAAUGGGUGAGAUCUCCGGCUUGCUCGAAAACACGCGCGUGUGCGUACGAAAGUAAGCACGCACGCACGCACGCACGCGCGCGCGCGCGCGCGCACUCACUUAACUAAAUAGUGAAGUGUGUGUGUGUGUCGUCGUGUUUGUGUGUGUGUGUGUAGAUGAAGCCGCGAGAAUAUUAUUAUUAUCAWGUAAAAACGGAUCAGAGUGCCU